rnacentral:rRNA from 1 species
UGCACAGAGAGCUUGGUCUCGGGUGACGAGUGGCGGACGGGUGAGUAAUGUCUGGGGAUCUGCCCGAUAGAGGGGGAUAACCCCUGGGAACGGUGGCUAAUACCGCACAACGUCGCACGACCAAAGAGGGGGACCUUCGGGCCUCUCACUAUCGGAUGAACCCCCAUGGGAUUAUCUCGUAUGCGGGGUAAUGGCCCACCUAGGCGACAAUACCUAGCUGGUCUGAGAGGAUGACCACCCACACUGGAACUGAGACACGGUCCACACUCCUACGGGAGGCAGCAGUGGGGAAUAUUGCACAAUGGGCGCAAGCCUGAUGCACCCCUGCCGCGUGUAUAAAAAAGCCUUCUGGUUGUAAAGUACUUUCUCCGGGGAGGAAGGCGACGGGGUUAAUAACCCUGUCGAUUGACGUUACCCGCACAAAAAACACCGGCUAAAUCCCUGCCACCACCCGCGGUAAUACAGAGGGUGCGAGCGUUAAUCGCAAUUACUGGGCGUAAAGCGCACGCACGCGGUCUGUUAAAUCACAUGUGAAAUCCCCGGGCUUAACCUGGGAACUGCAUUUGAAACUGGCAGGCUUGAGUCUUGUAGAGGGGGGUAUAAUUCCCCGUGUAUCGGUGAAAUGCGUAAAGAUCUGGAGGAAUAACCGUGGCGAAAGCGGCCCCCUGUCAAAAACUGAGCCUCAGUGCGAAACGUGUGGAGCAACAGGAUAAAUACCCUGGUAUUCCACGCCGCUAACAAGUCAAUUGUAAGUUGUUCCCCUUAAGAAUGGUUCUCGGAACUAACCU